rnacentral:rRNA from 1 species
AAUGUAGUUAUAGCGUGAAUAAAAUUGUGUGGUAGGAAAAUAAAUAACAGAAAUAUCUAACAAUAAAAGUAUUAUUUAAAGAAAUAUUUAUAAAUAGCUAUAGUUGAUGAGUACUGAGAAGGAAAUUUUUAGUUUUUUAUUUAGUAGAGAUAUAACCUCGUACCUUUUGCAUCAUGAUUAUACGAGAUAGAAGUAUUUAUAUAUUAUCCCGAAAUUAUGUGAGCUAUUUUAUGACUUAAGUCAAUGUUGCAAAAUUGUUUUUAGAUUAUGAAAUAGAUGUGAAAUGCAAGUCGCACAUAAUGAUAGCUGGUUUUCCUAGAAAUAUAUGGAAGUGUAGCCCUGUUAGUCUUAAUUUUAUAUAUCUUAUUAUUAGGUUAAAAUAGGAGUCCGAUAGGAGGAGAUAAGUUCUUCUAUUAUUAUAAUGAGUAUUGGAUUAAAUUAUUAAUUUAAGUGGGCUUAGAAUUUGCCAUCUUUAUGAGUUUGUUUUUAAAAAAAUGGUUUUGAUUUAAUAAUUUUUUAAAUACUUCUUAGUGUGUGUAUAGGAAUUUUAAUUUUAAUUUAAUAAAAUUAAUUAUUUAUGUAUAAAUUAGUAUAUUGGUUAAGCUAGAUUAUUAAGAUUAAAUUUGUAAAAUUUUAAUUAUAUUUAAUAUUUUUGCUCAUAGGAUUAGUUUAAGGAAUUCGGCAAAGUAAGCCUCGCCUGUUUAUCAAAAACAUCGCUUUUUGUAAAGAUUAAAUAAAAAGUAGAGCCUGCCCAGUGAAGUAAAUUUAAACGGCCGCAGUACCCUGACUGUGCGAAGGUAGCAUAAUCAUUUGCUCUUUAAUUGGGAGCUGGAAUGAAUGGUUUGACGAAGGCUUAACUGUCUUAAAUUAAUUUGUUAGAAAUUGACUUUUAGGUGCAGAGGCCUAAAUUUGGUUAUAGGACAAGAAGACCCUAUUGAGCUUUAAUUUAAUUAUUUAAGUAAAAAUAUAUAUAUAAAGUUUAAUUAAGUAAUAAAUUUUGAUUGGGGCGAUCAAGGAAGAAAGAAAUCUUCCUUUUGUGAUUUUAAAGUUGUAUGAAUAAAAGAUCCAGGACAUUUCUGAUUGUAAGAAUAAGUUACCAUAGGGAUAACAGCGUAAUCUUUUUUGAGAGUUCUUAUCGAAAAAAAGGGUUGCGACCUCGAUGUUGGAUUAAGGUUUCCUGAAGGUGUAGCAGUUUUCGAGGGUUGGUCUGUUCGACCAUUAAAACCUUACAUGAUCUGAGUUCAGACCGGCGUGAGCCAGGUUGGUUUCUAUCCUUAACUUAAAGAUAAUGUUUUUUCUAGUACGAAAGGAUUGUUAAAAACUAAUAUAUAAAAUUAGAAAAUUUUUGGUUGAAGCUAAAAUUGAAGUAAGUUUUAAAAUAAUAUU